GCUCCAAUAGCGUAUAUUAAAAUUGUUGUGGUUAAAAAAAAUCGUAAUUGGAAUUCUGCUGAGGACGACCGGUCCGCCACUGGGGGUGAGUAUCUGGCUCGGCCUUGGCAUCUUCUUGGAGAACGUAUCUGCACUUGAAUGUGUGGUGCGGUAACCAGGACCUUUACUUUGAAGAAAUUAAACUGUUUCAAGCAGGCGUG
rnacentral:rRNA from 1 species